GUUUUUGUUGGGUGUAACCAGGUUUUCACCCCCUCGGAUACAUGAUUAAUUCUCUGCUAAAUUGUAGACACAUCUUUAGGUUUAGAAACUACAAGGUCAAGGCGGCCAACGAAGAAUACUAUAUACAUGGGAGUAUAGAAUACAUGUGAGAGCUGAGCUGAUGAGGGCCAGGUACGAUGUGGAUGAGGACAUGUGUUAGUUGGAUGGAUGGAUAAGUAUUGUAUAUAAUAAUUUUGAAUUCAAUGAUGGUAGGUAAUUAAGGUCCCAUCACAUAUAUUCUAUCUGUUCUUCAGGGGCACCCAUAUAUACAUCUCACAUCGAUCUUGCUCCGAUCCUUCCCCAUUACUAUAUCUUAUCUUCUUCUCUUUUUAUAAAAUAGUACGGAGUAUAAUACAUACUACUUCAUCCCUUUGUUUA